rnacentral:rRNA from 1 species
UCUACAUGCGCUGCUACGGUGCGCUCGAGCGGUAGCGAAAGUACCUUGCUACUUUGCCGGCGAGCGGCGCAUGGGGAGAAAUGUCUGGGAAACUGGCUGAUGGAGGGGGAUAACUGGUGGAAACGGGAGCUAAGACCGUAUAAUGUCUCAAGACCAAAGAGGGGGACCUUCGGGCCUCUUGCCAUCAGAUGUGCCCAGAUGGGAUUAGCUAGUGGGUGGGGUAACGGCUCACCUAGGCGACUAUCCCUAGCUGGUCUGAGAGGAUGACCAGCCACACUGGAACUGAGACACGGUCCAGACUCCUACGGGAGGCAGCAGUGGGGAAUAUUGCACAAUGGGCGCAAGCCUGAUGCACCCAUGCCGCGUGUAUGAAGAAGGCCUUCGGGUUGUAAAGUACUUUCAGCGGGGAGGAAGGCGAUAAGGUUAAUAACCUUGUCUAUUGACGUUACCCGCAGAAGAAGCACCGGCUAACUCCGUGCCAGCAGCCGCGGUAAUACGGAGGGUGCAAGCGUUAAUCGGAAUUACUGGGCGUAAAGCGCACGCAGGCGGUCUGUCAAGUCGGAUGUGAAAUCCCCGGGCUCAACCUGGGAACUGCAUUCAAAACUGGCAGGCUAGAGUCUUGUAGAGGGGGGUAGAAUUCCAGGUGUAGCGGUGAAAUGCGUAGAGAUCUGGAGGAAUACCGGUGGCGAACGCGGCCCCCUGGACAAAGACUGACGCUCAUGUGCGAAAGCGUGGGGAGCAAACAAGAUUAUAUACUGUGGUAGUCCACGCCGUAAACGAUGUCCGACUUGGAGGUUGUGCCCCUGAGGCGUGGCUUCCAGAGCUAACGCGUUAAGUCGACCGCCUGGAGAGUACGGCGCCAGGUAAACACUCAAAUGAUUGACGGGGGGCCCGCACAAGCUGUGGCGUAUGUGGUUAAAUUCGAUGCAACGCGGAGAACCCUUACCACUUCUGGACUGCUAGAAGAACUUCAGAUGUGGAUUGGUCGCCUUCGGAACUUUGGAACAGGUGCCUGCAUGGCUGUUCGUCAUCUCGUCGUAGUAGAACGGUGGGUUAAGCUCCGCAAAGGACCCAACCAUUUUUCCUUUUGUUGCCAGAGGUUACGGCCGGGCACCCAAAGGAGACUGCCACGUGCAUACA